ACGGAGGGUGCUAGCGCUGUUCGGAAUUACUGGGCGUAAAGGGCGCGUAGGCGGCCGCUUAAGUCGGGUGUGAAAGCCCGGGGCUCAACCCCGGAACUGCAUCCGAGACUGGGUGGCUGGAGACCGGGAGAGGAGAGUGGAAUACCCAGUGUAGAGGUGAAAUUCGUAGAUAUUGGGUGGAACACCGGUGGCGAAAGCGGCUCUCUGGCCCGGUUCUGACGCUGAGGCGCGAAAGCGUGGGGAGCAAACAGGGUUAGAUACCCUGGUAGUCCACGCCCUAAACGAUGCGAGCUGGAUGUCGGAGGGCUUGCCCUUCGGUGUCGGAGCUAACGUGUUAAGCUCGCCGCCUGGGGAGUACGGCCGCAAGGUUA
rnacentral:rRNA from 1 species